AAUCACAUGCUCAAAUUAUGCAGUAACUGUGUUAGAUUAUCCUCUUAACAGUGAACAUCAUCUUAUUAUGGCGUAUUUGUUCUACAAUUAUGUUUGAUUCCUUGAUUAGGGUUCUUCGAAAAGGUGUCUGAAUAUUUGAAUCAGGGUCCCACAUUUUCUUCUUGAUAUCUCUAAGCACAUGUAACUUGUCAAUUGUUUAUCUUAAUAUUGCUCGCUAUGUUAUCCAGCUAUCUGGGCUGGAAUGCAUACAGUUCGCUACUUUGAUGCGAAAACGUAUGAGUGGGUUGGUAUAAGCCGGCAACCAAAUAUUAUGGGCAAGGUCAAACGAACGCUAAGUCAGUUUACACCAGCGCAGUGGGACAAAGAUGAGUGGCACCCCCUACUUGGUCCAUGGCGUUUCAUACAAGUGUUGACUUUAUGCAUUGUGUUCUUGACUGUCGAGCUCAACACUUUCUUUCUUAAGUUUUGUCUUUGGAUUCCUCCUCGAAACCCACUGAUUGUGUAUAGGUUGGUCUUGUGGUGGCUAAUUGCAAUACCAACAAUUCGCGAGUACAAUUCGUACCUACAGGAUCGAAUACCUGUGAAGAAGGUGGGCGCAUUUUGUUGGCUUUCUGUUGCUAUCUGCAUCAUUGAGCUCCUCAUCUGUAUCAAGUUUGGACAUGACUGACUAAUCAGGAGGACUAGUCUCACCUUCUACUAGCAGGGCUCAAUUAAAGUCAUCGCAAAGCCUGUAUGGACUGGCCCAAGACAAGGACUGAUAGCACGUGGCUGGGAGUCAAACCCCAGACCAAAAGCUUCCAGAGGCCCUGGUUGCCACAUGACUACCAUUGUGCCCACCCUUGGGGGUCCAAUUAAGAAUUAUUCCCCCAGCCAAUGCCUAUGUGGUUGGUGGUUUUCUAGACUUCCAUCGCUGCUGUCCUUUUGAUAUUUUUGAUUGCGUGGUCGUGGCAACUGCAUCGGACUCUGCAGAGAAAACAACAAUGAUUGUGUCAUUUUACGAGUAUCAUUCUUUCAUUCCUUUUUUGCUGUGUAAACCAACCACCCUUGUAAAUUAUCACCAUCUUGAGUUGUAAAUGCUUAUUACUUAGGUUAGUUGAGCGCAGAUUCUGAAUAGAAAUUACUCCAUUUAGGUUGUUGGAAAGGUUUUCUAAAUUUAGUCUCUCAGAAUAAUGAAUUUUUUUUCUUCCAUUGUCAAUUUGUAACUUGUUCAGAUAUUUUUGUUGACCAGAACCAUUGGUUUUGCAUCUUGAUUCUCUU